CCGGGCGGCGGUGCUGAUGGCGGCUCCGCGCGCCCUCGGUGUCGUGGCCCGGGCGGCUGCAGCCCGCCUCGCCCCGCCGCCGCGCUGCACCCGGGCCUUGCUGGGCGGGCGGGAGGAGGCGCUGCUGACCCGCAGCCUCCGGGAGGGACGCGCCCUCGGGAGGAGACGGGGCGAUGGCGGCCGGGAGGUAAGGGCGCCGUCUCUCUCCUGUUCGCUGCAUCGUUCCAGCUGCGAAACGUCGGGAAGUCGGGCGGGCUGGCGACAGUGGAGCGGGGGAAUCUGGUCGUUGGAGAAACGUGGCCCCCGCCCCCGUCAUCCGCACGGCUUUUCCCGCCCCUAACGGACGUUGAGGAACUCUCGGCUGGCCUCAGGUCACGAGGUGGCCAUGCGUUCGACAGCAGGAGGUAGGACCGGGCCACUGGUUCCGUCAUGAGCAGAAAAGGUGGAGAGCUCGGCCCUUAGAGCCAGCCAAGAUCUCGGGCCAGCUGUUCAAGAUCCUGAGGGCGCAGCAAGGGCGUGGGCCCAGCUUGGGGCCCAGCAGCCGGUCAGUGGAACAGACGAUGUACAGGCUGUCCCUUCAGGAUGAAGCCGUCCGUCUGCCUUGCUGUCUGUCCUGAGGUCUCCGUGCCAAGAUGGGCAUCUGCCAGAUGAGACCAGGCGGCAUCUCAGUUCUGGAGGAAGGAGAACCAGGAGGACGCUGCCCGCUCCUCACAAAGAUGGCCAGGCCUGUCAGCGGGAACAGGUGAGGCCCUGAGAGGCGUCCUCCCAUGGAGCACCUGCAGGCUCAUAAAUUCAUGCUGGUCAGGCUGUUGGUGUUGAAAGCAGCCCUGUGUGCUCAGCUGUGAGUUUACUAUUAGCCAAUCUGUCCGGAAGUUUCACCGAUGACAUACCAGUCCACUAACACGUUUUAUGAGUGUGGCAUGUGUCACAUAGUGUGUACUGUUACAAUAAAGUGAGCUGUGUUUAUUUA